UUUAAAGAGAGUUUGAUCCUGGCUCAGGACGAACGCUGGCGGCGUGCCUAAUACAUGCAAGUCGAACGAACGGAGGAAGAGCUUGCUCUUCCAAAGUUAGUGGCGGACGGGUGAGUAACACGUGGGCAACCUGCCUGUAAGUUGGGGAUAACUCCGGGAAACCGGGGCUAAUACCGAAUGAUAGAAUGUGGCGCAUGCCACGCUUUUGAAAGAUGGUUUCGGCUAUCGCUUACAGAUGGGCCCGCGGUGCAUUAGCUAGUUGGUAGGGUAAUGGCCUACCAAGGCAACGAUGCAUAGCCGACCUGAGAGGGUGAUCGGCCACACUGGGACUGAGACACGGCCCAGACUCCU
rnacentral:rRNA from 1 species